rnacentral:lncRNA from 1 species
UUCUGAAAGUAGAAUGAAGUUAUAAAGUAAAAUAAUGAUUUUGCUAAUAUUUCAAAUGUUGCAUACAAUAGAUACCUCAUUUGUGUUAUUUAUUUUUAGGAACCAUUUCAUUGAAAUGUUAUUCAAUUUUUGUCUACUCUUGGUUGAAACUGUUUUCAAUGCAGGCUUACUUUAAAUCUCAAACUUUAGUUACACAAAUGAUUAAUAAUUCAGAUUUACCUUAAUUGAAAAAAUUUUGACAUACAAAAAUAUUUAAUUUUGCAAGCAACAAAACAGUAUUUUUCUUCUUUUUUAGUUUGAAUCAUCAAAAAGAUUUUUUUACAAAAUCAAUGAAAUUUACUUAAGAAACAAGGGUGUACUUAAUAAUCAUGUCUGCAUUAGUUUGAUAUAAAGAUGUUCACACUUUCAUGACAUUCCUUUAAAUUAUGACCUUUUUAUAUGUAUAUAAUUUCCUUUCUACAAUUUUAUAGUUGUUAAACAUAUCAAACAAGAUUUUUUUACAAAUUAUAUAUAUCUACAUUUGUACAUAUCAUGUAUAUCAUUUCAUAACGAGGAAAGAUCUAUGUUUUGCUGAUUAAUACAUAUUAGGUCUGAAUCUGUCUAGUUUUAUUAUAUAGAUUGGGCAAAGGAUUCAUGUGGUAAUUUUCUUGUAUCCCUGUUUCCAAAUAUUACAUUAACUAUUAAAAGUAGAUUGAAACUAAAAUUCAUUUUAGCCUAUAUAUAUUUAACUUUGUUUGGUAUGACUUUACAUGUUACAAAAUCAUUCUUUUACUGAAAAGAUAACUGUCCAUAGUAAUUACACUAAACAAGAAACUUAAAAAGAUGUUACAAAGCACAAUUUAAUUGAUAAAGUAUUUUAUUUUUUUACUUGAGACAGAAAUUGUUGUAUUUUUUAAACAGAAAUAUUUUUAAGAUAGUUUCCGUAUUUUUAUUAUCAUCAACAUGUGAUUUGUUGGUGAUAUUUUAUUGUUAUUGAUAUUGUUGAAAUCCAUGAAUCGAUUGUUUGUACAGUUAUCUCAUUCAAAAUAAAUAGAUACAAACAUUUAUAA